AUUGAACGCCGGCGGCAGGCCUAACACAUGCAAGUCGAGCGGAUGAGGGUAGCUUGCUAUCUGAUUCAGCGGCGGACGGGUGAGUAAUGCCUAGGAAUCUGCCUGGUAGUGGGGGGCAACGUUUCGAAAGGAACGCUAAUACCGCAUACGUCCUACGGGAGAAAGUGGGGGAUCUUCGGACCUCACGCUCUCCGAUGAGCCUAGGUACGAUUAGCUAGUUGGUGAGGUAAAGGCUGACCAAGGCGACGAUCGUUAACUGGUCUGAGAGGAUGAUCAGUCACACUGGAACUGAGACACGGUCCAGACUCCUACGGGAGGCAGCAGUGGGGAAUAUUAGACAAUGGGCGAAAGCCUGAUCCAGCCAUGCCGCGUGUGUGAAGAAGGUCUUCGGAUUGUAAAGCACUUUAAGUUGGGAGGAAGGGCAGUAAGUUAAUACCUUGCUGUUUUGACGUUACCGACAGAAUAAGCACCGGCUAACUUCGUGCCAGCAGCCGCCGUAAAAC
rnacentral:rRNA from 1 species